AAGGCGCUGGAGCUGCCGCUCGCCUCCAGCUGGAAAGCCAGGACGCAGCGCAGCAGCGGCCGUGCCUCCGCCUCGCCCAGUGCCCGCAGCUCCUCGCUCAGCGCCCGCGCCAGCAGCAGGGCCUCCUCCAGGUCGGGCGCUUGGUGUCGGCAGGCCCUGGGGUUGUCCCACGGGUGAGCACUGAGUGGUGCUGGAGCUGCUCCCGGACCCAUGCUGCCAGUCCCGGGCUUUCCCGGAGCGAUUCCCCCUGAAAUCCGCCUCCUCGCCUCCUCGUCCCUUAGCCACAGCCACACCAUCAUCAUGCAAAAAGCGGUGUGUUUGCUUUCAAAGUAGAGGUGAGACAGAAGGGUAAGCGUGAUCUCACUUCACCUGCCUACAAGUUUUCAGCCUUAAAACAACAUCUGGAGCGGUUUCCAUGGUCGGCAGACGAGCGAGCCCUGGGAGGACUGGAGGGGAGCUGGGCAAGGCUGAGGUGCUGCCAGAGGAGGCACUGAGGUGUCCCGCGCACCAAGCCCAACACCUCCGCUUGGCACAGCCACCUCUCCCAUUGCCCCUCACCACGGAGGACACACGUGUCAGGGGCAGCAGGUUCUCGGAGUGUAACCAGGUCAUGUAGCAUUAUCCAUAGAUUUUGCCUCAUGCCUGCUCACCACAGUUCCCAGAUCACCAGCAGAUAUGUAUGCCAGCUCUAACAUCAUCCCCCUGCCACCAUCUUGUCAACAGCGAAGGGACCUUCCGUCACAAGGAAUGGGGUGAGCUCAUCUGCUUGCUUCCCCGGGAUGCUCCUUGCUGGUUUUGACCCUGCAGGAGUGAUUUUUCCUGCUUUGCUUCCUGCAGAAGCACUAAGGAGAGUGAUGGCUGCAUCAGCCACCCAGGAGAGCACAGCUUGGAGGACGCCAAGAUGUGGCUCCCAGGAGAGCACUGCAUCUGGAAACCGACAGACCGUAGUUUUCAGCAAUGUUUGCCAGCUCUGCUCUGCUUUAGACAUUAACCUGGACGUCCAAAGCCAGCCACGUGGCCAGGUUUGCCCUCACUGCUGCGAUUAUAAACCAGCAAAACAUCCCUGCAUUUCCAUCCAAUAAAUCAGGGCGGCACAGGAGGAUGCUUGCACCCGCAGACCAACUCCUUCCCCACUCCAGCACUGCGGUGAAGAAUCAGGGAAUGCGCUGCCUAAGCAGAUCCCCCGUGCCCAUGGUGCCUGCACCCAAGCAAGGAAAGGGGCUCCCAUGUUUCAGGGUCUCUGAGGCUGUGGUUCCUUUUCCCCUUGUGCUGCCUGCAGAAGGCAGGGGUCAGGGAGGAAGAGGAGGAUUUUUCAGGUUUUGCCAUAGGAAGGAUUUUCAACCCCUGUAAAUUCACUUUUGACAAGCAAACGGCUAAAGCAGAUUAACCUUUUUGCUAAUCCUCUAUAAUGGCUUUGGAAUCUCCUUAACCAAUAAGAAAAUGAUAA